GCUCAGGACGAACGCUGGCGGCGUGCUUAACACAUGCAAGUCGAACGGAAAGGCCCUGCUUUUGUGGGGUGCUCGAGUGGCGAACGGGUGAGUAACACGUGAGUAACCUGCCCUUGACUUUGGGAUAACUUCAGGAAACUGGGGCUAAUACCGGAUAGGAGCUCCUGCUGCAUGGUGGGGGUUGGAAAGUUUCGGCGGUUGGGGAUGGACUCGCGGCUUAUCAGCUUGUUGGUGGGGUAGUGGCUUACCAAGGCUUUGACGGGUAGCCGGCCUGAGAGGGUGACCGGCCACAUUGGGACUGAGAUACGGCCCAGACUCCUACGGGAGGCAGCAGUGGGGAAUAUUGCACAAUGGGCGGAAGCCUGAUGCAGCAACGCCGCGUGCGGGAUGACGGCCUUCGGGUUGUAAACCGCUUUCGCCUGUGACGAAGCGUGAGUGACGGUAAUGGGUAAAGAAGCACCGGCUAACUACGUGCCAGCAGCCGCGGUGAUACGUAGGGUGCGAGCGUUGUCCGGAUUUAUUGGGCGUAAAGGGCUCGUAGGUGGUUGAUCGCGUCGGAAGUGUAAUCUUGGGGCUUAACCCUGAGCGUGCUUUCGAUACGGGUUGACUUGAGGAAGGUAGGGGAGAAUGGAAUUCCUGGUGGAGCGGUGGAAUGCGCAGAUAUCAGGAGGAACACCAGUGGCGAAGGCGGUUCUCUGGGCCUUUCCUGACGCUGAGGAGCGAAAGCGUGGGGAGCGAACAGGCUUAGAUACCCUGGUAGUCCACGCUGUAAACGGUGGGUACUAGGUGUGGGGUCCAUUCCACGGGUUCCGUGCCGUAGCUAACGCUUUAAGUACCCCGCCUGGGGAGUACGGCCGCAAGGCUAAAACUCAAAGGAAUUGACGGGGCCCCGCACAAGCGGCGGAGCAUGCGGAUUAAUUCGAUGCAACGCGUAGAACCUUACCUGGGUUUGACAUGGAUCGGGAGUGCUCAGAGAUGGGUGUGCCUCUUUUGGGGUCGGUUCACAGGUGGUGCAUGGCUGUCGUCAGCUCGUGUCGUGAGAUGUUGGGUUAAGUCCCGCAACGAGCGCAACCCUUGUUCACUGUUGCCAGCACGUUAUGGUGGGGACUCAGUGGAGACCGCCGGGGUCAACUCGGAGGAAGGUGGGGAUGACGUCAAGUCAUCAUGCCCCUUAUGUCCAGGGCUUCACGCAUGCUACAAUGGCUGGUACAGAGAGUGGCGAGCCUGUGAGGGUGAGCGAAUCUCGGAAAGCCGGUCUCAGUUCGGAUUGGGGUCUGCAACUCGACCUCAUGAAGUCGGAGUCGCUAGUAAUCGCAGAUCAGCAACGCUGCGGUGAAUACGUUCCCGGGGCUUGUACACACCGCCCGUCAAGUCAUGAAAGUUGGUAACACCCGAAGCCGGUGGCCUAACCGUUGUGGGGGAGCCGUCGAAGGUGGGACUGGUGAUUAGGACUAAGUCGUAACAAGGUAGCCGUACCGGAAGGUGCGGUUG
rnacentral:rRNA from 1 species